rnacentral:rRNA from 1 species
CUACAGAGGGUGCGAGCGUUAAUCGGAAUUACUGGGCGUAAAGCGCGCGUAGGCGGCUACUUAAGUCAGAUGUGAAAUCCCCGGGCUCAACCUGGGAACUGCAUCUGAUACUGGGUAGCUAGAGUUUAGGAGAGGGAAGUAGAAUUUCAGGUGUAGCGGUGGAAUGCAUAGAGAUCUGAAGGAAUACCAGUGGCGAAGGCGGCUUCCUGGCCUAAAACUGACGCUGAGGUGCGAAAGCGUGGGUAGCAAACGGGAUUAGAAACCCUAGUAGUCC